ACACACUGUGUUUUUUGUUAUUACAAGAACCAUUGCUUUGGCUUGGCUUAAAAUAAGUUGGGCCAAAGGUAUACUAAAACUUCAAUUUAUUUAAUUGAAUUGUUAUUUAAUAUAAUUUUGUCAAUUUGUUUGAUUAAUUUCAAAAUAAUCUUCAAAACUUUCAACAACGGAUCUCUUGGUUCUCGCAUCGAUGAAGAACGCAGCGAAAUGCGAUAAGUAAUAUGAAUUGCAGAUUUUCGUGAAUCAUCGAAUCUUUGAACGCACAUUGCGCCCUCUGGUAUUCCAUAGGGCAUGCCUGUUUGAGCGUCAUUUCUCUCUCAAACCUUUGGGUUUGGUAUUGAGUGAUACUCUUAGUCGAACUAGGCGUUUGCUUGAAAAGUAUUGGCAUGAGUGUGCUGGAUAGUACGUUCUGAUUAUUCAAUGUAUUAGGUUUAUCCAACUCGUUGAAGGAUCAGGUGUAAAUUUCUGGUUACAUUGGCUCGGCCUUACAACAACAAACAAGUUUGACCUCAAAUCAGGUAAGAAUACCCGCUGAACUUAAGCAUAUCAAUAAGCGGAGGAAAAGAAACCAACAGGGAUUGCCUUAGUAGCGGCGAGUGAAGCGGCAAUAGCUCAAAUUUGAAAUCUGGCACCUUCGGUGUCCGAGUUGUAAUUUGAAGAAGGUAUCUUUGGUUUUGGCUCUUGUCUAUGUUUCUUGGAACAGGAC
rnacentral:rRNA from 1 species